AUGAAGCGCACGGGCAGGAGACGCAGCUCGGUGUGGGACUGUUUUGAACAACUGGGGAACUUUGUCCGCUGCAUGAAAUGUGACGCGAGAUUGAAGUACUGCGGCGGAGCAACCAGCUCCAUGAUAAACCACAUGAGCCGGCACCAUCCGUCCACCGCGCCGUCAGACGAGGACGAGAAGCCGGUGAUCUGCACCGUGCAGUGCGUCGACGACGAGAGCGCCGCCGCCGGCGCGGACAUCAUGCAGGUCGCCAUCAUGUCGCCCCACGUCAACGCGGGGGCCCGCCUCUCCGAGCGCGAGUACGGCGAGAGGAAGCGCCUGAAGAGGAGCUCCGUGUGGGACAUAUUCGUCAAAGUAGACGAGGAGGUGCACUGCACGAUGUGCGACACCAAGCUGAAGUACAGGAGCAGCACCACCAGCAUGAUGUACCACAUCAAGAACAAGCACCCCGACACCAUGCCCGGCGACGGCGGCUCGGGCGCCACGCACGCGGAGGUGACCGAGCUCAUCUCCAGGAUGAUCGAGAGGGACAUGCUGCCCGUCAGCGUGGUCGGCGGGGACGGGUUCCGGGAGCUCCUCGCGCACACGGUGCACAAUUACAAAGUGCCGUCCGCGGCAGAUGUCACGCGCCUCGUCGAGGGCCACUUCCACGAGAAAGCGGAGGAGCUCGUGGCGCAGCUGGCCAACGUGGAGAAGCUGGCGCUCACGGCCGACCUGUGGACGGCCCUUCCCUUCCAGAGGUACGUGACGGUGUCCUGUUCCUUCAUAACGGCGGACUGGCAGGGCAGGUCGGCCGUGCUGCAGACCCACAAGCUGCCGUCUGACGGCCACGCGCCCGCAGACGGCGUGACGGGGAGGCUCCUGAGCACCGUGCAGAUCUGGGGCAUCGCCGGGAAAGUGACCGCGUGCGUCCACAACAGCGCGCGGGGCAUCUCGUCGCCACAGGCGUUCAUCCGGGGCACCUGGGACUACGCCACGUGCUUCGCCACCACGCUGCAGGUGGCG
ensembl:lncRNA